GUCUGUGCAUAUUUGUGUUUGUGUGUGGUGUGGGAGUGUGGAGAGGGUCACACAAUUGAAAUGAAUAGAUAAUUGCAACUGAUGCUGAAGGACAUGGGCCAGUGAUGUCUCAUCAAGCAAACUGCUGGGCUAACUUGAAAAGGCCCUUAUUUCCACUGUCAUCUGGACUGAAAUCAGGAUGUAGAGAUCUUUGGUUUGGGGAGGACCAGCCCCACCCACUGCUGACCCAGUGCUUCCCAACUGUCUGCUCCUGCAGGUCCCAGACCCAAGAGCUGCCCAACUCUGGCCCCUGCACAGGUGAAAGGGCAACUGUUCCUCCCAUCCCCUGAAACUCUGGAAUGCUGAGCAAAUUAUUCCCCUGCUCUAAUUACCUGAAGACCAGGGAUUUAUGAAAGAACUACAAAGUAAUUCUCUUUUCCAUGGCAUUUCUUGCUGAUUAAUAAUGCUAAUAUCAGCAGUCUUCAAUUCUGAAUAUAACAUAAUUAAUGUUUGGU
rnacentral:lncRNA from 1 species